UAUUGUCUCCCUUUGUGGAGCAUGGAAAGAGAAUGAAAACAAGUAGGAAGAUUAAAAAAAGCCUCCUGCUGGAUUUAAAUCAGCCAGGUGCUGACAGAACAAAACAAAGAAACAUGGAAAACCAACCCACAUCAACAAAACUACCCUCCCAACAAGAACUGUAAUAUCAACAACAAAUGAGCAAAGGUCACCAAAGGUGGAAAGAGAAGAUGAAUAUUAUAAAGGAAAAAAGAAUAUGAGAUGGCUAAGGGAAAGAAACAUGAUUUUGAAUGAGUAGAAGGAAAAACAGUAAGAGUUGGGAACGGAAUCAAGGUUAAGAAAGUGAUAAAGCAAAAUCUAAAAUGCAAAUAAGAAAGGGAAAGAAGAAGGUAAAAUGGAGUAAGACAAUGGGAGAGCAAAAUAGAAGCUCUGAAAUUUUUUAAAAUAGUAAAAAAUUGGAACAAAAUUGAAAGAAACAAUACAACAAUAUCAAGGACAAAUGGUCAAAGAUUAAUAAAGGUCAGUAGUGAAUAAGAAUAUUAUAAGGAAGAAAAAAGAAUAUAAGAUAGCUAAAGGAAAGAAAAGAUUAUUUCGAGAGGAUAUAAGGAGGAGAAUAAGAGUAAGGAAUAGAAACAAGGCAAAGAAAGAGGAAAAAUAAAAUUUUAAACAAAAAUAAGAAAGGGAAGGGAGAAAGCAAAAUGGAGUAAGACAAGGUAAAAGUAAAAUAUGAGAUUUGAAAGAAAAAGUGAAAAUUUAAAAACAAUGAAAAAACAAUAGCUGUAACAAUGAUAUAAGCAAAUAUAUUUGGAAAAAUAAGAAUAUUAUGAAAAAUAGAAAAAAUAUGAGAUGACUAAGGGAAAGAAAAAUGAUUUUGAGAGGAAUGAUGGAGGAUAAAUAAUAAGUAAGGAAUAGAAACAAGGCAAAGAAAAGGGAAAAUAAAAUUUAAAAUGAAAAUAAGAAGGGGAAGGAAGAAGUCAAAAUCUACUAAGAAAAGGGAAGAGUAAGAUAUGAGAUUUGAAAUAAAAAAAUAGUGAAAAAAAUUGGAACAAACUUGAAGAAAAAGACAUGCUAAAAAGUUGCAGAGCCUAUUGGCGAUGUUAAGUGAGGACCUUCUGGCAAAUUCCUUCUGGCAAGUUCCUAGGAAUGAAUCUGAGGAUCCUAAAUGAUGUACCUUUCCAGGGCUUGAGAGCUCAAGACACACAUUUCAUUUCAAGACAGAUAAGACUAGAG